GAAGAUAAACUAUAAAGAAAGACUUUAUUUGCAAAUAUACCCAUUUACUUUAAACUGUAUAAUGGUUAGUUUUCUAACAUGGGCAUUAAAAACAAAACAACUAAGAUUCAAAUUUUUUUUUAACUAAAAUUAUUUUUUAAAUGAAUAGAUGUGUUUAAAAAAUAAGCUUACUUAUUGCUAGACUGGCAAAAUCCCCUACUCCAUUUACUGAGGUACUUAAAAGUAACUAGCAUGCUGUAUCUCUUUUUUUCCCAGCUUUGUCUUGAAUUGGCAUUGCCAUCCUUGUUUUAUCUCAACUGGCUGUAGCUUUUAGAUAAUAUCAUAAGGAUUAACCAGUAACCUCUUACAUUCAUUACUGUUUUCUAGGGGAAAAUAUUUGGUAUUUGGUUUUUCUGUUGCAGCAAAUAAAACCUCAGGUGUACCAGGAAAUCGUCCUGGAAGUGUAAUCCGUGUUUAUGGUGAUGAAAACAGCGAUAAAGUGACUCCAGGGACAUUUAUACCCUAUUGUUCAAUGGCACAUGCACAGCUUUGCUUCCAUGGGCACCGGGAUGCUGUGAAAUUCUUUGUGGCAGUCCCAGGUCAAGUCAUCAGCCCACAAAGUAGCAGUAGUGGCACGGAUCUGACAGGUGACAAAGCAGGGCCAUCUGCACAGGAGCCUGGUAGUCAGACGCCCUUGAAGUCUAUGCUUGUCAUCAGUGGAGGAGAGGGCUACAUCGACUUCCGAAUGGGUGAUGAAGGUGGAGAAUCAGAACUUCUUGGAGAGGAUCUUCCACUUGAACCUUCUGUCACCAAAGCAGAAAGGAGUCACUUGAUAGU
rnacentral:sRNA from 1 species